AUGAAGGCGUCAGCCAAGAAAGCCCAAGUAUCAUGGUGGCAGAAGCAGUACACCCGCUUCCCUCCGGAGCGAGCAGGGUACGUACGCCUGAUUACCGGACCAGAUGGACUUCAUCUGGAGCAGGCAGGGGAGGGUGGGCAGCCCGGUGCGCUCUCCUUCCAAAUCGAUGACACAUACAUGGGGAGACCAUGGCGCAAAGAUGGUGUCUUCGAGGAGGGCUCCUCUGUGCCGCCAAGGGAAGUCGCCGUUAUCAAGAGGUUGCCUAACGGUGAUGGGAUUUCUAUCAUGUCCUAUAUAAAAGGGCUUGGUGUGAAACUUCAUGACAUUCUCUUUACGUUGCACUGCCCGUCCGCCACUGUGGCCCUGACUUUCACAGAACGAUCGUUCUAUGUUUCUUCCAAGUUCACGGAGGAGCCACUAUAUGCCAGUGCUGGUCUUGAUUUCAUUGACAUUGCUGUUCCCCUGGAGAAUCUGAUCAAGAAACUUUACCAGAUGUAUGAGCAAGACGAGCAAGAAAAAAAGGCCAUGGAUGAGAAACAACAUCAUGAUGAUACAGAUACAGAGGCGAUGAUGCGGCAGCAAAAGGAGCAAACGGUUCAGGCGGAGGAGCAUGAGAGGAACAAGUUGGAAGAGCUGCAGAGGAGGAGGGCCGAGAGCAAGAAACAGAAGCACCGGCGUAAGGAAAUGAAGGAGGCAGCUAAUCGGAUGAAGGGGGUGGCAAGAACAGAGGAAGAACAAGAUGAUGCUUACUUUUGCACCCCGACAUUUCCCUUUCUGGAAGAAUCUGAUUGGGGGAAGCCAUCGGAAGAGCAGCUGUGCCAAAGCUAG
rnacentral:rRNA from 1 species